UUCAGUGGGCGUUGGACUCAGCUGAAACAAAUUUCCGCUGCCCCGAGAAUUUGUAUGCUUAAUCCGAAUUACAUAAUUUCCGAGAUCUUAGCGUUCAUACAGAGAGACGGGUGGACGGACAUGGAUAGCGUCGGAAAAUCCUUGCUUCUGCUUUAUAUUUUUCGACAAAAAAACAGAAGGCAUUUCUAUUGGUGCGGCACUAAAAAACGAUGGUAGCGCCACAGGACCUAGCGGACGGUAGCGGAAUUACUGACCAUAACAACACCUAUUUAACUUUCUUACACUGCUGGAAAAUCUUCAAAAAUGUGGACGACAAGCAGACUAUAUGGGCGUUUGUGAGCAUUCGAGUGGGAAAGGUACUC